rnacentral:rRNA from 1 species
ACGGAGGGUGCGAGCGUUAAUCGGAAUUACUGGGCGUAAAGCGCGCGUAGGUGGCUUGUUAAGCAGAAUGUGAAAUCCCCGGGCUUAACCUGGGAACUGCAUCCUGAACUGGCAGGCUAGAGUAUAGUAGAGGACAGUGGAAUUUCUGGUGUAGCGGUGAAAUGCGUAGAUAUCAGAAGGAACAUCAGUGGCGAAGGCGACUGUCUGGACUAAUACUGACGCUGAGGUGCGAAAGCGUGGGGAGCAAACAGG